rnacentral:rRNA from 1 species
CCCUUAGAUGUUCUGGGCCGCACGCGCGCUACACUGACGAAUGCAACGAGCUUAUAACCUUGGCCGAAAGGUCUGGGUAAUCUCCAAAUUUCGUCGUGAUGGGGAUAGAUUAUUGCAAUUAUUAAUCUUCAACGAGGAAUGCCUAGUAAGCGCAAGUCAUCAGCUUGCGUUGAUUACGUCCCUGCCCUUUGUACACACCGCCCGUCGCUGCCCGGAACUGAGCCAUUUCGAGAAAAAUGGGGACAGACUGCUUGUGGGUGCGCAAGCACUUCUUGCAGAUUGAAACCAUCUUGAUCGGUAUGGCUUGAACCGGGCAAAANUCGUANCA